rnacentral:rRNA from 1 species
AUUGAACGCUGGCGGCAGGCCUAACACAUGCAAGUCAAGCGGUAGCACAGAGAGCUUGCUCUCGGGUGACGAGCGGCGGACGGGUGAGUAAUGUCUGGGAAACUGCCCGAUGGAGGGGGAUAACUACUGGAAACGGUAGCUAAUACCGCAUAACGUCGCAAGACCAAAGAGGGGGACCUUCGGGCCUCUUGCCAUCGGAUGUGCCCAGAUGGGAUUAGCUAGUAGGUGGGGUAACGGCUCACCUAGGCGACGAUCCCUAGCUGUCUGAGAGGAUGACCAGCCACACUGGACCUGAGACACGGUCCAGACUCCUACGGGAGGCAGCAGUGGGGAAUAUUGCACAAUGGGCGCAAGCCUGAUGCAGCCAUGCCGCGUGUAUGAAGAAGGCCUUCGGGUUGUAAAGUACUUUCAGCGGGGAGGAAGGCGAUAAGGUUAAUAACCUUGUCGAUUGACGUUACCCGCAGAAGAAGCACCGGCUAACUCCGUGCCAGCAGCCGCCGUAACAC